rnacentral:rRNA from 1 species
UUUUUACUAUGGAGAGUUUGAUCCUGGCUCAGGAUUAACGCUAGCGGCAGGCCUAAUACAUGCAAGUCGAACGGCAGCACGGGUAGCAAUACCUGGUGGCGAGUGGCGCACGGGUGCGUAACGCGUAUGCAACCUACCUUUGACUGGGGAAUAGCCCCGAGAAAUCGGGAUUAAUACCCCAUAAUAUUAUACAGUGACAUCACUAUAUAAUUAAAGCUUUGGCGGUCUUAGAUGGGCAUGCGUGACAUUAGCUUGUUGGUGAGGUAACGGCUCACCAAGGCUACGAUGUCUAGGGGUUCUGAGAGGAUUUUCCCCCACACUGGUACUGAGACACGGACCAGACUCCUACGGGAGGCAGCAGUAAGGAAUAUUGGGCAAUGGACGCAAGUCUGACCCAGCCAUGCCGCGUGCAGGAUGACAGCCCUACGGGUUGUAAACUGCUUUUGUACGGGAAAAAUUCCCUGGUCGUGUACCAGGGUUGAUGGUACCGUAAGAAUAAGCAUCGGCUAACUCCGUGCCAGCAGCCGCGGUAAUACGGAGGAUGCAAGCGUUAUCCGGAUUUAUUGGGUUUAAAGGGUGCGCAGGCGGAAUGAUAAG